UAAGGUACAAAACAUGUCGAAUGAAUACAACGUAAAGUACUUUUAAAAUAAAGUAAAAGAAAUUUUGUUAUGUCCAUCCUUCUUGGUUCCUUUUGGUGAUAUGCCACUUCUUGUACCCAAACAUCAAGUCUUCGUACCUGUCAUGGAAAGUUUAGUCAUACCACCCCCUAAAGUUUAAUUAAUUAGAACAAAUGGUUCAUAUUUAGGCAUAAAUAUUUCUCAAAUAUGCACAUAAAUAAUGAUAGGUCGUUACUUGGGGUCGAAAACCCACUUGGACAUUUAAGGUAAAGUCGACUAAUGAACUUAAUACACCAAGGGUAUCAAGCCUCUUAGGUCAUGAAAUGAAGUAUGUUCCUUAUAAAGUGUGUUGGUUUAGCUCUACUCUAAGUAACCUAGGAGUGAGUUUACUACACAAGGUUCUCGAAUUAACUACUCGAGCGAGAAGGCUAUGCGGUCACACAGAAAAAGAUUCAAACAUCCCGCGUAUAUGUCAACUCUCCUAAAUUUUGGAUUUUGAAAAAGAAUUGUGGGUGCGUGCGCAAAACACACCUCGCGUGUACGUGUGAUAGCGUAAAUUUCCAAGAAGUGAAGAAAUAUGAACGAAAUGACAGUUAAGAAAAACAAUAACACAUAAACCAUUUAUAACAAACAAACAAUGUAUAACAAGAAAAAAAUAUUUAGUAAACAAAUAAUUGCCAGCAUAUUAAAUUAAUUUAUGUCAAACUAACAAUUGAGUACUAUGUAAAAACAAGUUUAUGACAUGUAAAGUAAUUAAAAUAAGCACAUAAAGCCUAAUUAAACUAAGUCCGCUAUGGUUAGAACCUAAAAAGUCUCCAGUGAAAUCGUCAAGUUGUUAUACCCCAUUUUAAUCAGGUAAAAUAGUGUACAACAUUUUGGUGAUUUCCAAAUUAAUAACUAACUUAAGAAGUCGCCACCUAAUUAUUUAUUGUGAAUUAGGAUAUCUAAAAUGAUUAAAGUCUUUGUCUAAAGUUAACUCCAUUUAAGGUCUACUAAACAUAAGAUUCUAGGUAAGGGUUCACCUAAUUUAAAGGGAAGGGGUUAGGCAUCCUUUAAAAUCCAUUAAAAAUGAUUAACCAACCGAACUUGAUUAAUUGAUUAGGCUAAGUGCCAAAAUAAAAUAUUAGCAUAUUAAAAAGAGUUUGGAUAAAAAAUAAAAGUAUAAACUUUAUGUCUAAAAAUAGCUUACAUGGAUAAAUUUAAGUUUAAAUAAAUUAUUCCUUAUUUUGUCAAAACCAUGGAAACAAAGUUACUACCAAGAAACUUUUAAAUAAAAGUGAUCAAAAUAAAAUCAUUUAUGACUUAAAAUCACAAAUCAAAAACUCCAUUUUAGACGGAUUGAUAUUGAAAAAACUUUGAGACUAAUAAUUUGAUUUUAAAAGUGGUGUACGAUAUUAAUGAAAUAUGUUAUAGACUCAAAAAGGUAGUUUUUGGGGUCCAAGAUAGUCUAGUUAUUUAUAUUUAAAAGAAAAGUAAAUAGAGCCUCCAAAAGGCUUUACUAAAAGAGAAAAAAGAAGGUUUUUGUAAAGAAAAAUAGUAUUGCAAAUCAAUCCCCAAAAAAAAUCUGAUUUAAUCCAUUAAAUAAAAUAAAGGUUAGCUGAUUUUUAUCCCAAAUCAAAGAACUUGCCAAAUUAUCCAAAUACAGUCAUUAAAUCUAGGAGUAAAAAAGGGUUAUAAACAUGAAUAAGAUACUAACUAGAGAUAAAUUACUUAAGUCAUUCAUGCAGAUUUGUGCAAAUUCUAGUAACAUAACAGCAAACCAAACAAAUAAAUAAGCAUAAUGGUAAGUAAUGUACUAGAAAACUAAUUAACUAUAAUGUCUCGUUUUAUCCGGAUACGUCUCUAGAAAUAGGGAAUAAGUAAAGCGAACAGGUGUAGUGUAAAAGAAAUAUAUAUGAUCAAUUCCAUGUGAGGGAUAUGCAAGCUCCAUGUUGUAGUGGUGUCGUUGAGUUUCAAAAGGAGACUCGCCGGCUCCGAUUUUAUGCCAAAUAAACAUGAGAAAAGAGUUACAUGAGGAAAUUUGAUUCUUGGUACUAUAUAUAAAAAGAGAAUAGUUAGUUGAAAGUCAUAUUAGUCAUAACUGGGAACUCGUUACAUACCAAACUAGAUGUUCCACAUACUUGGCCAAACUAAAUAUACACAAAACAGCCCUCACAAAUGUAUCUCUAAAGAUUAAUAUAACAGAGUGGGUAAAAUUAUCCUUUCACGAUUAUUAUAUGAAAUCACAGUUUCAGAUCCUUAGUUGAGCGUAACUACAAUUUCUCUACAUACUAGCAUAUCUAAAUCCAAACCAAAGUAGUCAAUUUAUCACACAAAAUUAGUAGGGUCCUUUUAUUUUAUUUUAAAAAAGAUAGCAUAACAUAUAGUUCUACAUGACAACUCCAUUUAUAUGAUUGAAAUCAGACUUUUCACAACUAAAAAGAAAUUAUUAUAUAAUAGCAACUGUAAUAUAAUUACGGACAAAGAAAUGCGUAACUCUUGUUUUUUUCUAACACGACUGCAAAUGUUUAACUAAAUAGAAGAAUCAGAUUUUACCUUUUGUAGUGUAGUGAACUAGGACGUCGGCGUAGAAUCUACUCUCUUGUUAUGAUCAGAUUCACCCCUCGAACCUAAUGAGUUCGAUAAAAGCAAACAGAAAAUACAAGAAUUUUGGCAUGGAUGGUGAUAGCUAAACGUUAUAAAUAACUUCCACCAUGUAUGAUGUUCUUAUGAUUAAGAAAAGUUUCUCCUUUGUUGAAGAUGAGGAAGUAGUUAUAGGAAAAGAAUGGUAAGACAAAUUUUUUAUUUUUUAAAUUCAAAUUUUACAGAGUAGGGAGGUCACGGGUAGAUCUUGGAGUCCCAAAAUGAGUCGUUUGAAGUUGCUAAAGUGAUUUUCUACAUUAAAAAAAUCAUAUUUUCAAAAAGUCUUUUGGCUUCUUGUGUUGAUUGAUCAGUUGAAUAUGAAAGAGAGAAUUUCAAAGCACUACAAUUUUGCACAAAAAUGGAAGAACAUAGUCCUGCUUUUACCGAAAGCAUUUUGGAAAUUUUCUGAAAUCGAAUAGAGAGAAAUUGAAAGGGAGUGGCUGAUCUUUUUUAGGGGAUUAGGUUAGGGAGGUUUUCUGAUAUAUUUC
rnacentral:lncRNA from 1 species